rnacentral:lncRNA from 11 species
UUUUACAUAUUUGGAAAGGAGGGGAGAGGUUGAUCUUUGACGCGAUUUCUUUUCUUUUUUGUUAUAUAUUUAAGGAGGGGGAAGAAGUUCAUCUUUGGCGCGAUUUGUUUUUUGUUAUAUAUUUAGGGAGGGGGAGAGGUUCAUCUUUGACGCGAUUUCUUUUCUUUUUACAUAUUUGGAAAGGGGGAGAAGUUAAUCUUUAAUGCGAUUUGUUUUUUCUUUUUGUUAUAUAUUUGGGGAGGGAGGAGAGGUUAAUCUUUGACGCGAUUUGUUUUUUCUUUUUAUUAUAUAUUUGAGGAGAGGGAGAGAGAUUGAUCUUUAAUGUGAUUUGUUUUCUUUUUACAUAUUUGGAAAGGGGGAGAAGUUAAUCUUUGACGCGAUUUGUUUUCUUUUUACAUAUUUGGGGAGGGGGGAGAGGUUAAUUUUUAAUGCGAUUUGUUUUUUCUUUUUGUUAUAUAUUUUGGAAGGGGGGAGAGGUUAAUCUUUAACGCGAUUUGAUUUGAGGAGGGGAGAGAGAGAGGUGAGGAGAUUUUGUAAGUUGGAAAUUCGAUAUGAACGUUUAUUAUCGAAUUUAUUUUGGCAAAAGAAAUUUUCUGAUCCAUCUGAUAGACGGUGAUAGAUUAUUUGAUUCGAUUAUUCCAAGUUAAAUUUGAAAGAGUAUUUAGUUACGAAUUACAUGUUGGAAGUUUGUUAACGUUUAAUUCGAGGGAUGGAUCGGAUAUUUCAAAGAUCUUCUCAGAUCUUUUUUUCCAUCCAGAUAAUUUAGAGACGUAUAAGAAGACGAAGAAUUAAUCUUAUAAGAAUUUACAAGAUUAUUUGAAAAGUAUUACGUGAAUGUGGAAGUUUGUUAAUUAAGGAAACUUCUAUUUUUUUUUAUCGAUAAUUACAACUUCGCAAGGAUACAAUUUCAAAAGUUAUAUUGACCUCUCCCUUCCCUUUCGAAUUUACUUUCAAAUUAUUUUAGAUCCUUGAUACACUUGAUAAAAUCGUCAGUUCGUUAGUUACUUCCCUAUAUAUAUAUCCACCCUUUCGGAAUAAAAAUUUCUCCUGCCUUUUUUUUUUUUUUUUUUCCGAUUUUACGAUUUCUUCGAAUCCGAACCCUCGAGACUCGUUCGAUCGCCUCCCCAAUCUCUGCUCGCGUAUGUAAAUCUCGAUCUGGGACAAUUAUAGUAAAACGGGGUGGCGUGCCGCCAAGUGGUUAGGUUGGCCACACUGUUGGCGGGCUUAUUAUACUAACAAAUAGCCCAUGGAGUUUCACCGCCUAAUCAUCGCGUAUCAUGCCACGCGCGCGAAUACCACCCGCCUUAGCACUACGCCAAACUGCUUGGACGCGUUUAGGGGUGUGCAAAUCUUUCCAAAAUUCUUACCCGACGAAUAAUAUUCAACCCACGCUUGAACAUGGCGAUUAAUUUUUUUUAGAAAAUGGAAAUGGAAAUACACGAAAUAUGACGAAUAAUUAAGCAAUGAUAACUAAUUCGUAUCUUUCUAUUCUCGAUAAAAUUUGAUAAGGUGGAGUAUAUAUGAGCUCUGAAUUUUUUUUUGCACACCUAUGUGUGUGCAGAUGCGGCACAGAGGAAAAUUGCGAUCAUUUGUAAAAUAGAAGGGUAGUAGUUCGAUCCCGAUCACUGAUAAGAAAAUGUUUGCGACUGGGAGGGGAGAAAAAGCGUGCGAUUUCGUGCCGAGCUUUUCCACGUCGCAAUUAUUACUUGGAGGAAACUUCUCCUCCCUUUCGAAAACCGUACCGAUUUUCAUAGAGAAAAUAAUGAAAGAUUGUAACUGUCGUUUUCUUUUUUUCGCGAGCGACGAUUUUUUAUUCCGAAUCGAAAAGGGGAAAGGCGUGAUGAUGAUGAUGAUGAUGAUGACACGAGUUGGUUCGAUUGAACCAAUUACGCAACUCGGUUGGAUAAUUAUUAAAGAGCGGAGAGGGAAAUUAUAGUCUCGCGUGGACGAGCCGACACGUGGUGAUUUACCUCUCUCUUCGAGUAUUUAAACUCGUUUGUUAUUACUGUAAACGUAAUGUUACACUUGCAUUGUCUUCCGAUUACAUUGACGCGGUUUUUAAACGGCCUACGAAAACGAUGCUCUCGAAAUUAUUAUGAAGUUACUCUAAUUUUACGCAGAGACGUAAAAGUGCGAGUCGAUUAAAAUCUCGGAAGAAUUUUUAUUUAAUCACGAUGAUACGUAACGAAAAAAAGGAAAAAGAAGUCGCUCUUUCCUCGAAUUAUGUAAAAAGCCUAAUAACUAUAUUACCGUCUCCUCGUUAAUAAUUAACGACAGUUAUACGCGUAAUCGAUCUCCAUUUAAUAUGGAUUCAUGGUUCAGUAACGAUCGAUCGAUCAACCGACACGCGCUUAACUUAAUUACCUAGGCCCCCCUAGCUAAUUAGAAAACAAAAAGGAAAAUCUCCAUCCACGAGACCAACAAUCGGAUUGUAUAUAAAAAUUUCGCGGCUAGGCAGCCAACGUCAAACGUCCACGAUUAUCCACAAUGAUAAAUCAACCAACCCCGCUGCCCGUCCACUCAAUUAAAACCCGACGAAUUCGCUCGCCGCUCGGAAUUCGGGGCGAUAAUUAACGAGUCCUUCCUUUCCCCUCGUCGGGGAGGAGAGAGGGGGACAUUCGUUACGUUUUUCCAUAAAAACAAACCGGCGGCGUUGGAUGAAAAUUAAAUAUAUAUAUAUAUAAAAAACGAAAUAAAAAUAGAUAAAAAUAAAAUAGAAAGAGAGAGAAUGGUGAAACCUUCGAAACGAGGCCGCGGCGAGGGAGGAGGAGCGAGGCGAGCUCAAAGGGGGGUGAGAAAGUUCGUUGUCAGGGUAAUUAAUAAUCAGGAGAUCCGUGGCUGGCAAGGGACAAAGCGGGGCUCUAACGGAUAUGCAACUCGCACGGAAAAUUCGACAAUUAAUAUAUUUCGUGGGGUUGCUGCACACCUCUCCCUCUCUCUCUCUCUCUCUUUCUUUCCCUCGAUUUUUAUCCAACGCGGAUCGUUUCGAAAUGUGGGCCACACAUUCUCUCUCUCUCUCUCUCUCGAUAUACCCCUUUUGUGGGGAGAGGAGAGCAGUAAAAUCGUUCAUGAAUUUUAAACAGGGCCCCCUCUCCUCGAAUCGAGCGCGAUCAUUUCUCAUUUUUCCGCUGCCACGUUGGCGAGAAGGGGAUAGAUAGAGAGAGAGAGAGACAGGGAUAGAAGGGAGAAGCCGUGUAAACCGAGCGGAGAUACGAGUCGGGGCGAGAAGGGGGAGACGACAAGUUGCAAUGAAAACCACUCGUGCGAUUAUAUGAUGAGUAAUGUUUUUUAAUACCCCCACCGCGUGCACGCAAGCAAGGGGUGGCCGGUCAUUUUCGAGUGCAGCCACUCUAAAACACCCUUAAUUGCUGUGCCGGCUCUUUGUGAAAACGAGGGAGAGAGAGAGAGAGAGGGAGAGAGGGAGAGAGAGAGAGAGAGAGGGAGAGAGGGAGAGAGGGGGUCGGAAGUGGCUGCGGAAAGAGCAAGAGUCAUUGAUUUAUCGUUCUCGAGAGCCGGGUUGCGAAUAAAGCGAACGGUAAACGGGAGGGGGGAGGGGUGAAGUGUUAAGAAAAGUGUAACGAUCGCGCUUCCAUUCCAGGGCUUAAUGAUCGUCGACCAAGUAGAAAGGGAACCUUAGCUUCGAUCCUUCCCGUCACUCUGGGAAACUGGUUUUUCCUUUCGAUCGCGUAUUAUUAUAUUCUCAACGUUCGAUGAUAAAAUUAUUCUUUUGAAUAACAAUAAUUAAUAAUCGCGCCCGAUAUAUCUUUCUUAAUUAAAGAAAAUUUCGUCUACGUUUCUGUCUUAUUAUUACAAUUUAUAAGAACGACGCAUAGAUAAAGAAUUACGCGAACGGUUAAAAGGGGGAGGAUAAAGGGAGAGAGAGAGAAAAAGAGAGAAUUAAUUAAUAAUCGCGCCCGAUGUAUUUUCUUAAUUAGGGAGAAAAUUUCGUCUACGUUUCUGUCUUACUAUUAGAAUUUAUAAAAACGACGCAUAGAUAAAGAAUUACGCGAACGAUUAAAAGGGGGAGGAUAAAGAGAAAAAGAGAGAGAGAGUUAAUUAAUAAUCGCGCCCGAAAUACCUUUCUUAAUUAAGAAAAAUUUCGACCUGGUCUACGUUUCUUUCUUACGAUUUAUACAAUUUCGGUCUACGUUUCUGUCUUACUAUUAUUAUUAAUUUAUAAGAACGACGCAUAGAUAAAGAAUUACGGUUAAAAGAGGGAGGAUAAAGGGAGAGAGAGAGAGAGUUAAUUAAUAAUCGCGCCCGAUAUAUCUUUCUUAAUUAAGGAAAAUUUCGACCUGGUCUACGUUUCUCUCUUACGAUUUAUAAGAACGAUGCAUAAAUAAAGAAUUACAAUUAAAAAGGGAAGGAUAAAGGGAGAGAGAGAGAAAAAGAGAGAAUUAAUUAAUAAUCGCGCCCGAUAUAUUUUUCUUAAUUAAGGAAAAUUUCGUCUACGUUUCUGUCUUACGAUUUAUACAAUUUAUAAGAACGACGCAUAAAUAAAGAAUUACAUGAACAUGUUUAAAAGGAUAAAGAGAAAAAGAGAGAGAGAGUUAAUUAAUAAUCGCGCCCGAUAUAUUUUUUUAAUUAAGGAAAAUUUCGACCUGGUCUACGUUUCUGUCUUACGAUUUAUACAAUUUAUAAGAACGACGCAUAAAUAAAGAAUUACACGAACGAUUAAAAGGGGGAGGAUAAAGAGAAAAAGAGAGAGAGAGUUAAUUAAUAAUCGCGCCCGAUAUAUUUUUUUAAUUAAGAAAAUUUCGACCUAAUCUACGUUUCUGUCUUACUAUUACAAUUUAUAAGAACGACGUAUAGAUAAAGAAUUACGCGAACGGUUAAAAGGGGGAGGAUAAAGGAAGAGAGAGAGAGAGAGAGAGAGAGUUAAUUAAUAAUCGCGCCCGAUAUAUCUUUCUUAAUUAAAGAAAAUUUCGUCUACGUUUCUGUCUUACUAUUACAAUUUAUAAGAACGACGCAUAGAUAAAGAAUUACGCGAACGGUUAAAAGGGGGAGGAUAAAGGGAGAGAGAAAGAGAGUUAAUGCAUUUAUAAUGGUGUUUUGGGACCGGUCGGUGGUUUUGCGGUUACGCAGUGUCCUCGGCGACACUAAUGCAACCAACCUCGGUUUGCGACGAUAAAUAUAAUGUCGAGGAGAGAGAAAGAGAAGAACGAAUAGAAUGGGGAGACAUAUUUUCAAAUUAUUAUUUGCUCGACUUGCCCCGUUCGAACAUAUGCUCCUCCAUAGGAUAGAUAUCUACGUACGAUUCUCUCGUACGAAGGGACGGAAAGGUUAUUAACAUUCAACUCGUUCCCCAACGACAAAUUCGAAACCAUUUUCGAGAACCACCAUUGGAUGUGAAACGAUGAUCGAGAAGUAACGAGGUAGAAACUGUACACAACCAGGCUCUGUUAUAAAAAUUGCCGUGCCAGUUACAGUAUUUUUACACGAGAAAACAUAGUUAUAUAACCCACCUUCUUUAAGGCCGACGAAUGUGCAUGCAAAUGUAUCGUUACACCCUCCUUUGGUUAACCUCGUUUCUCUUUUUUUCUCUCUCUCCCUUCCUCCUCCUCCUCUACCUAUUUCGCGAAAUUCCACGGGCUCGCGAAAUCACCGAACAGCUCGAAACACAAGCGUGCGAUACACGAAUCGUGACACGAAUUUUUCCCGCUCGCGGGAGGGGAGAAAGAGCGCGUUUGACUAGCCGGAGAAAUCAAGACGAUCCGUUAUAAAGCGGUUUACCGGAGGCGUGGGAAGCUCGUGCGUUCUUCCGGCUGGCGUUGGAGAAGCCUCGAGCAGAAACAACGGAGCCGGAUUCUCACGAUGCGCGAUGUAUCACGACGGCGUUGGCCGAUGUGUCGCCAUACGGCGGUGUUACGUACGUAAGGCGCCUCCGUUUCGUGGAAAGAGGGGGAGGGGAGAGGGGAAAAGGAAAAAGAAAAAGAGAAGAAAGGAGGGGGAGAAGAAGAAGCGGAGAAAAAUCACCGCGCAUUUCUCUCGGCGCCGUUUCUUUUCUUCUCUUCUCUUCUCUUCUCUUUUUUUUUCUUUUUGUUCCAUAAAUCCCGCGGUAAAAUUUGCACUUAAUUCACCGUUUCAAUGGAAAUGCUUUUUGCCGCUCGCCGUCUCUCUCUUAAUUAACAGAUAUCCCCUCGAGGCGAGGAAACAUGUUUAAACAUGGGACGGUUUAGGUAAUUGCUAUAUUUAACGAGAGAACUUUCUCCUCCUCGUUCGCCUCGAUGUCCUUUUGCGCCGUUACUUUGUUUCGACUAAUUGAUUUCGUUAAUUCGUAACGCGGAUGUAACGGUACGAUUAAUAAUGUGUCGAAAGCGAGGUGAAAAUGCUCGUUUUAUACGUUAUAUAUUCACGAAAGUGUUCGAGGCAUUUACACCACAACGAUUGAUUUAUGGAUUUAUUUGUGAAAUUUUUGGAAAUUUUUCUUCCGUUUUAUAUAUCAUCGCUACAAACGAGAAAUCGAAUCUUGAUAUCGUAUACGUGUAAGAUCGAAAUGUUAAAAAAUAUUUAAAAACGUGAAAACGUAUCAUCCUCUUAUUUCGAUGAUUUGUGAAAUUUUUGAAAAUUUUCUCCCGUUUUAUAUCAUCUCUGCAAACGAGAAAUCGAAUCUUAAUAUCGUAUACGUGUAAGAUCGAAAUGUUAAAAAAUAUUUAAAAACGUGAAAACGUAUCGUCCUCUAAUUUCGAUUCUUUUUCCAAAUCCAAAUAUAAAACGGAAAUUAAAUAAAUCUAUCGAUUCGCGUUGAUUGUAAGCUCGUUCAAUUUCACUUUCAAAAUCAAAAUUUAAAAAACUCGUCCAAUUGUUACCCCGAUUUAACGUUAAUCCGAACGAUCUAAUAAAUCUUCGCAAUUUUUUUAACGCGAUAUUUAAAAAAUCAUCGAGAUAGGAGGAAGAUUCGACAUGUUUUCGAUGAUAAAUAAUAUAAAACUCGAAUAAUUUUUAUUUAUAUUUGUGUAAAAAAUACGUGUAUUUGUGUAAAAAAUAAUAGAAGAGAAAAAAAACGCGUUAAACAACUCGAUUUUAAUAAUCGACCGAUCGCGACGACGAAUCGUACGUGAAUGCGCGCUACGUGUUUAACAAUGUGUACGUGUAUACGCACGCGAUACGUAUUUAAUAACCGCGCGUAUAUAUAAACACGCGAUACGUAUUUAAUAACCGCGCGUAUAUACACAACUCCUUGGGCUCGGCUUCGAUACGCGUAUAAAAACAAAACAAGAAUUUCGGUAAACGGUCGUCCUCCAAAUUUAGUCGUAGUAUAUCCGCCGUACCAUUAACAUCGUCGUCGUAUUUCUGCGCGUCGCGAAAUUUUCUAUCCGUUUUCAACGUGCGUCGUGCGUUUUUUCGAUCCUGCCCUCGUUUUCACCCACCAUCUGCCCCCACACGGUACAGUUCGUGCUUCCUGUGCAUUCCUUGGUUGGUGAAGAUUACCUCUCUUCGAGGUAACGUAAGGGGGAGGCAAUUUCACGGGGCGCGAGAUUCGUAUCUCGAGUGAUUGAAAUUGAAUAUGGUGCGAUCCGGGAACGGAAUCGAGAAAGAGUGUAUGUUUGUGUUUCGUCAAGUGCACACAGGCCACGCGAUUCCUCCUCCACUCGAAGAGAGAAUCAGGGAUUCUCGCAGGGACACCCGGUACACACGCGCGAGGAACGCACGAUUCUUCAUUCUCCACGUUGGCCAUUUAUGGGUGGCGUGCCACUUGACAGGACGCACGGCGUCACGGGGUCUCCUCCCUUCCAGUCUCGUGGAUUGGAAAGGAACGCGAUAACGUGUCCAUCGUUUCGGAAGUUUCGGGCCCUUGAAAUUUUCUUGGCGAACGCACCCUUUCUUCGCAAAGGAUCGGACUGCAAAGUGAACGCCGGUCCCACGACCGACGAGGAAUCGACACUCUCGCAUCGGUUACGUUUCGAGGGUGCGAUCUCCCCUCGAGUUUUUCGAGAGGCGUGCAAUGGUCGAGAGUACCUCCUUGACGAGGAAGGACGAGGAAGGAAAGAUCAAACGUUUCGAAGUUUCUCUCCCUUGUUUGGAUCCAACCUGGAGGAGGGCAGAGCAACGACUUUUAAAACGCAAUUUAAAACGCCGUUGCUGCCGCUUUUGUGAAAAUAAUCAAGCACUCUCCGUGCUCCGGUGUCCCAUGUGAUUCGAUCGGUUCCUCGGAUCGUGGAACUUUUUAAACCGGCGUCCGGUUUACAGGCGGUGGAGGGUGGAGGGAGGAGCCGUGGAAAGGGAUUUUCCAAGGCAAGGAAAAGCGGCGCGAUCGGGCGGGAGUUUAAAUUAGAUUUCGUACUUCCGAGACGCUACAAGAACCUUAAAAGAGGAGUUCACCGUCUUUCUCGAUCGAUCGGUCGGUUCUAUCGAUUCGAAGGAAUCGUUCGUGAUCGACAGCCGCACAGACAGAACCACUUGAUCCGUCCACGAAUCUGUCGAUAUUUUCUGCUUUACCGAUCGAUCUAUAUCGCGGAAAUACGUAUGGAAUAUCUCUAAUGAUCAGACGUUCCGGUAGAUACAACAGAUGUGGAUCACGCAAUGGAUUUCUGCAAUACCAACCGAUCACUUUUUCUUAAAUCAGUGGUUCUCAACCUCUAAGUAAUGAAGAAAGAAGAUUGCUGUUAUUUAGUCUUAGAAUUUUAAUAUAAUUGCGUUAUCAAGGAUGAUCAGAACAAUUCCUCUACGGCAAAUUAUAACAAUUAUUAAUUAUUUUUAAUUUUGUAUGAAAAAGAAGAGGCGCAAGAUAUUUUAAAAAAAAAAAGGAUUGCAACAGUGAUAGAUGAUCUUGUUAAUCAAUAUAUAAUAUUAUUGAAAGAAAUUGUAAUCGUUCGAUAAUCCUAUGAAAACUUUUUUUCCUCGAGCGGAUUUUCUACUUAGAAAACGACACAAGACGAGUAUUUAUGAGUUAUUGAUGACACGUACGCUUUCAGUAUCUUAGAGAGGAUCGUAUAAUAACGUAAUUAACGACGCGUUGACAAAUUGAAUCGGCGGCGAAUUUAUUCUUUUCAUCGUGGCUGUACCCCGGUGCUCUCGCCAUAAAUAUUUCAUGGCGGUCGGGCGGGCGGGCGGGCGUCCCCGUGUCCGUGGAAAAUCGUAGAACGUUCAAUGAUCAUCCCCCAGCCGCUGCUACACACCCUCGAAAAAUCUUCACGAGGAAACCAUGAAGAACCGAUAAUCUUUCAUCGAUCAGCAUCAGAGAGAGAGGAUAGAAGGAAACGUUUCUCGAAAAUGGAAAUCUUCUUUAGAGGGGGAAAAAAUGAAUUACGUAUAUAUAACAGGCAUGAGAGAUUUGUCUCUAAAUAUACGAAUAGAAUUCCAGGCCUAUCGUAAAACCGAAUCGACAACUUUUUUCCUUUAAUUGAUUUAAUUUAUUCAUUGACGAAUAAAGAAAUUGUUUUUUAAUUGCUUACAAAGAGAGAGAGAUUAUA